rnacentral:rRNA from 1 species
AUACGGAGGGUGCAAGCGUUAAUCGGAAUUACUGGGCGUAAAGCGUACGUAGGCGGUUCGUUAAGUUAGAUGUGAAAGCCCCGGGCUUAACCUGGGAACUGCAUUUAAAACUGGCGAACUAGAGUUGAGUAGAGGGGAGUAGAAUUUCAGGUGUAGCGGUGAAAUGCGUAGAGAUCUGAAGGAACACCAGUGGCGAAGGCGACUCCCUGGACUCAAACUGACGCUGAGGUACGAAAGCGUGGGUAGCAAACGGGAUUAGAAACCCUAGUAGUCC